GUCUACGGCCAUACCACCCUGAACGCACCCGAUCUUGUCUGAUCUCGGAAGCUAAGCAGGGUCGGGCCUGGUUAGUACUUGGAUGGGAGAUACUUUAUUGUCCUGAUGUUAUAGCAGCUAACCAUAGAGG
rnacentral:rRNA from 1 species